UACAGAGGUCUCGAGCGUUAGGCGGAAUCACUGGGCUUAAAGCGUGUGUAGGCGGAUCGGUAAGUACCUUGUGAAAAUCCCACAGCUUAACUGUGGAACUGCUUGGUAUACUGCCAGUCUUGAGCCAGCUAGGGGCUACCGGAACAAAUGGUGGAGCGGUGAAAUGCGUAGAUAUCAAUUUGGAACGCCAAUGGUGAAAACAGGUAGCUGGGGCUGUGCUGACGCUGAGACACGAAAGCCAGGGGAGCAAACGGG
rnacentral:rRNA from 1 species